GGCUGGUUGGUGAAGUGGCCUAACACACUGGUUUUAGGAACCAACUGCAAAUCUGCAGUUUUCUAAGCUCACACCAGGAUUCCUGGGUUCGAAUCCCAGACUAGUCA
rnacentral:tRNA from 2 species